GAUGAAGAACCAGCGAAAUGCGAUACUUGGUGUGAAUUGCAGAAUCCCGUGAACCAUCGAGUCUUUGAACGCAAGUUGCGCCCGAAGCCAUUAGGCCGAGGGCACGCCUGCCUGGGCGUCACACGUCGUUGCCCCCCCAUCUACUCCUUCGGGAUUGCGGGGGGCGGAUGAUGGCCUCCCGUGCGCCUCGUCGCGCGGUUGGCCUAAAUGCCAAGUCCUCGGCGACGCACGCCACGACAAUCGGUGGUUGCGAAACCUCGGUUGCCUGUCGUGUGCGGUCGUCGCGCAUCGAGGGCUCGAAAAAAUUGCCGGGCUUCGGCUCGACUUUCAACGCGACCCCAGGUCAGGCGGGGUUACCCGCUGAAUUUAAGCAUAUCAAUAAGCGGAGGA
rnacentral:misc_RNA from 1 species